rnacentral:rRNA from 1 species
GACGAACGCUGGCGGCGUGCCUAAUACAUGCAAGUUGAGCGCUGAAGGUUGGUACUUGUACCAACUGGAUGAGCAGCGAACGGGUGAGUAACGCGUGGGGAAUCUGCCUUUGAGCGGGGACAACAUUUGGAAACGAAUGCUAAUACCGCAUAAAAACUUUAAACACAAGUUUUAAGUUUGAAAGAUGCAAUUGCAUCACUCAAAGAUGAUCCCGCGUUGUAUUAGCUAGUUGGUGAGGUAAAGGCUCACCAAGGCGAUGAUACAUAGCCGACCUGAGAGGGUGAUCGGCCACAUUGGGACUGAGUCACGGCCCAAACUCCUACGGGAGGCAGCAGUAGGGAAUCUUCGGCAAUAGACGAAAGUCUGACCGAGCAACGCCGCGUGAGUGAAGAAGGUUUUCGGAUCGUAAAACUCUGUUGGUAGAGAAGAACGUUGGUGAGAGUGGAAAGCUCAUCAAGUGACGGUAACUACCCAGAAAGGGACGGCUAACUACGUG